rfam:Coccidioides immitis H538.4 supercont1.6 genomic scaffold, whole genome shotgun sequence.
GGCAGGAUGACCGAGCGGUUAAGGUGGUAGGUUCAAGUUCACGUGAUCCCAUGUGGCUUCGCCUCGUGAAGUGGCGGAAAAUUCUACUGGGGGCAACCCCGCCAGGGUUCGAAUCCCUGUCCUGUCA